CAAUUGCCAUAACUCCGAGCUUGCUGCACUAAGUUCCUGAUCUUGGCCAAGGGUCUGUGACGGGGAUAGGUGAGUUAAGCCAGUGACAGGUUGUCACCAGGGUCGAUAAAGAAAUGCAUCGGCCUCCCAUAUUUGGAAAGGUGUUCCGUGGCGAAACAA
rnacentral:ncRNA from 1 species